CUAAGCAUCAGGUAACAGAGGGUUCGAUCAUGGCUCAGAUUGAACGCUGGCGGGGGAUGCUUCGCGACAUGCAAGUCGAACGGCAGCACGGACUUCGGUCUGGUGGCGAGUGGCGAAACGGGUGAGUAAUGUAUCGGAACGUGCCUAGUAGUGGGGGAUAACUACGCGAAAGCGAAGCAUUAACGGCACAUUGCCCUUCGGGGGAAAGCGGGGACCUUCGGGCCUCUUGCACUAGGAGCGUGGCCGAUAUCGGAUUAGCUGGUUGGUGGGGUAACGGCUCACCAAGGCGACGAUCCGUAGCUGGUUUCCAGAGGACGACCAGCCACUGGGACUGAGACACGGCCCAGACUCCUACGGAAAGUGUAAUUUUCCGGACAAUGGGGAAACCUGAUCCAGCCAUCCGCGUGUAUAUAAGGCCUUCGGGUUGUAAAGCACUUUUGCAGGAGAGGCAAACGGCACGGAUAAGACUCUGUAACUGACGGUACCUGUGCAGAAUAAGCACCGGUUAACCACGCCAGCAGCCGCGGUAAUACGUAUGUGGUAAGCGUUAAUCGGGAAUUACUGGGCGUAAAGCGUGCGUGCAGGCGGUUCGGAAAGAAAGAUGUGAAACUCCCAGAGCUUAACUUUGAACUGCAUUUUUAACUACCGAGCUAGAGUGUGUCAGAGGGAGGUGGAAUUCGCGUGUAGCAGUGAAAUGCGUAGAUAUGCGGAGGAACACCGAUGGCGAAGGCAGCCUCCUGGGAUACCUCGACGCUCAUGCACGAAAGCGUGGGGAGCAACAGGAUGACACCUGGUGUAGUCCACGCCCCAAACGAUGUCAAUCAGCUGUUGGGGCCUUCGGGCCUUGGUAGCGCAGCUAACGCGUGAAGUUGACCGCCUGGGGAGUACGGUCGCAGAUUAAAACCCAAAGAAUUUGACGGGGACCCGGCACAAGCGGUGGAUGAUGUGAUUAAUUCGAUGCAACGCGAAAACCUUACCUACCUCUUGACAUGUUCUGGAAUCCCGAAGAGAUCGGGAGUGCUCGCAAGAGAACUAACACAGGUGCGUAUGGCUGUCGUCAGUCGUGUCGUGAGAUGUUGCUAAGUCCCGCAACGAGCGCAAACUCCCUUGUCAUUAGUUGCUACGAAAGGGCACUCUAAUGAGAUUUGCCGGUGACAAACCGGAGGAAGGUGGGGAGACGUCAAGUCCCUAUGGCCCUUAUGGGUAGGGCUUCACACGUCAUACAAUGGUCGGGACAGAGGGUCGCUAACCCGCGAGGGGGAGUCAAUCCCAGAAACCUUGAUCGUAGUCCGGAUCACAGUCUGCAACUCGACUGCGUGAAGUCGGAAUCGCUAGUAAUCGCGGAUCAGCAUGUCGCGGUGAAUACGUUCCCGGGUCUUGUACACACCGCCCGUCACACCAUGGGAGUGGUUUUACCAGAAGUAGUUAGCCUAACCGUAAGGAGGGCGAUUACCACGGUAGGAUUCAUGACUGGGGUGAAGUCGUAACAAGGUAG
rnacentral:rRNA from 1 species